AGGGCACCACCAGGAGUGGAGCCUGCGGCUUAAUUUGACUCAACACGGGGAAACUUACCCGGCCUGGACACUGGAAGGAUUGACAGAUUGAGAGCUCUUUCUCGAUUCAGUGGGUGGUGGUGCAUGGCCGUUCUUAGUUGGUGGAGCGAUUUGUCUGGUUAAUUCCGAUAACGAACGAGACUCUAGCCUAUUAAAUAGGCUCCCGGCUUUUAAACGCCGGGAGGACUUCUUAGAGGGACAGGUGGCGGUUCAGCCGCACGAAAGAGAGCAAUAACAGGUCUGUGAUGCCCUUUGUUGUCCGGGGCCGCACGCGCGCUACACUGAAGAGAUCAGCGUGCUUUAUGUUCCUGCUCCGACCGGAGUGGGGAACCCAGUGAACCUUCUUCGUGAUUGGGAUAGAAGAUUGUAAUUAUUCUUCUUGAACGAGGAAUUCCCAGUAAAUGCGAGUCAUAAGCUCGCGUUGAUUACGUCCCUGCCCUUUGUACACACCGCCCGUCGCUACUACCGAUUGAACGAUUU
rnacentral:rRNA from 1 species